GUUAGGAAUCUUCGGCAAUGGGCGAAAGCCUGACCGAGCGACACUGCUUGGAGGAUGAAGGUCUUCGGAUCGUAAACUCCUGAACGAGGGACGAAUAAUGACGGUACCUCGCUAAUAGCACCGGCUAACUCCGUGCCAGCAGCCGCGGUAAUACGGAGGGUGCGAGCGUUAUCCGGAAUCACUGGGCGUAAAGGGCGCGUAGGCGGUUUGUUAAGUCCGAUGUUAAAGACCGAGGCUCAACCUCGACACGGCGUUGGAUACUGGCAAGCUGGACGGUUGGAGAGGAAGGUAGAAUUACCAGUGUAGCGGUGGAAUGCGUAGAUACUGGUAGGAAUACCCAUUGCGAAGGCAGCCUUCUGGACAACACGUGACGCUGAGGCGCGAAAGUGUGGGGAGCAAACCGG
rnacentral:rRNA from 1 species